GAGAUUUCCUCUCAUUCUCCCAUUCACCUGAGAAGAAAAUCAACAAAGCAACGGUUGUUGCUGCUGAUUCAGAUUGAGAGAUUAAAGAGAGAGAUUGAGAGUGAACCUGAAAUUCUGAUGAUCUCGAUGGUGUUCGAUUAAAGAGUAACUGGUCUUAUGGAUAUGAUGUUUCAAUCGGUGUUUGGUGAUUUAGGGUUUAAGAAGAAAUUUGAAACUGAAGAGAGAAUCAGAGCUGAAAUUGAUAUGGGUUUGUCGAGAUAAGGGUUAUUCAGAGCUGAGAUUGAUGAUUAAGUAUAAGAGAAUUGAAGAAUUUCAUAAACUAGGGUUUGGUUUUGGGAAGAACAGCUGAGACUGAUUCUUAUUUGUUUCCUAUCCCUAAUCUUCAAACGGCGCCAACAAAUCAAGAUGUGCAAGAGCAUCAUCCUUUUGAGAUUUUCUAUCGAUUUGAUUUCCUGUUGAUUUCUUUUUAAUUUUUCUUUAUACUCCAGGUUUUAGAGAAUCAAUCACUUAAAGGAGAUAAAGAUGAAUCUUAACUACUACAUCAAUGACAAUGGUUACACUAUCAAGGUAUUGUGAAUAGUGAUGGUUCCACUGACGAAAUUACAAGGAACGACAAAGAGGACAUAUUUACAUAACAAGUGAGAACAAAAUAACUCCACAAGUGAUUGAUGGCCAUCCAAUUUCACCUGUAUCUGAAGUUCUAGCCAAAAAAAUGUCCACUUCAUACCCCAAGUGAAAAGACGAGGGUACCUAAACCUUUUAUUUAUCCACCUAUAAGUCCUCCACUGAAAGUGAUUGUCUAUGGACUGAGUCGAGACAAUAACUAAUCGGUUCACACUUCGUGUGAUCGUCUAUGGA